rnacentral:ncRNA from 1 species
CAACCUCAACUCAUAUGGGACUACCCCCUGAAUUUAAGCAUAUUAAUUAGGGGAGGAAAAGAAACUAACAAGGAUUUUCUUAGUAGCGGCGAGCGAAAAGAAAUCAGUUCAGCACUAAGUCACUUUGUCUAUAUGGCAAAUGUGAGAUGCAGUGUACGGAACAUCAACAUUCUAGUAUGAGAAGUUAACGAUUUAAGUCCUUCUUAAAUGAGGCCAUUUACCCAUAGAGGGUGCCAGGCCCGUAUAACGUUAAUGAUUACUAGAUGGUGUUUCCAAAGAGUCGUGUUGCUUGAUAGUGCAGCACUAAGUGGGUGGUAAACUCCAUCUAAAACUAAAUAUAACCAUGAGACCGAUAGUAAACAAGUACCGUGAGGGAAAGUUGAAAAGAACUCUGAAUAGAGAGUUAAAUAGUACGUGAAACUGCUUAGAGGUUAAGCCCGAUGAACCUGAAUAUCCGUUAUGGAAAAUUCAUCAUUAGAAUUGUAAUAUUUUAAACAAUAUUAUAAUAAUAGUGUGCAUUUUUUCCAUAUAAGGACAUUGUAAUCUAUUAGCAUAAAUAUUUAUCAUAAAAUUAUGUCUGA